GGUUAAGCGACUAAGCGUACACGGUGGAUGCCCUGGCAGUCAGAGGCGAUGAAGGACGUGCUAAUCUGCGAUAAGCGUCGGUAAGGUGAUAUGAACCGUUAUAACCGGCGAUUUCCGAAUGGGGAAACCCAGUGUGAUUCGUCACACUAUCAUUACGUGAAUACAUAGCGUAAUG
rnacentral:rRNA from 2 species